rnacentral:sRNA from 1 species
UUUGGCAUAUGAGUUGUAUAUUUCAUGUAGUUAAACAGUAAUCUUUUCCUUUAUGGAUUCCAAUUUUUAAAUGGUUUAUAUUUUUAGCUAAAUUUUCAGGAGUGAAAAGAAAAAGAGGAAGGAAGAAAUCCCUCUCAGGCAAUCAUGUACAGCCACCUGAAACAAUGAAAUGUAAUACAUUCGUAAGACAAGUGAAAGAAGAGCAUGGCAGACACACAGAUGCAACUGUGAAAGUUCCUUUUCUUAAGAAAUGCAAGGAAGCAGGACUUCUUAAUUACUUACUUGAAGAAAUAUUAGACAAAGUUCAUUCAAUUCCAGAAAAACUCAUGGAUGAGACUACUUCAGAAUCAGACUAUGAAGAAAUCGGGAGUGCACUUUUUGACUGCAGAUUGUUCGAAGACACAUUAGUAAAUUUUCAAGCAGCAUUAAGAUGCCCUCAAGACAGGCUACACCUCCACUUGUUUAUGAGUCUGGUCUGACUUCUCUGUCAAGGCUGCCACACACGGCUGGGCAGGCCGUGCACAGAGUCAUACAGCAUUGGUGGAUGGCUCCCCCUGAAGUUGCACAACAGA